rnacentral:rRNA from 7 species
UUAAGUUAUUAAGGGCGCACGGUGGAUGCCUUGGCACUAGAAGCCGAUGAAGGACGUUACUAACGACGAUAUGCUUUGGGGAGCUGUAAGUAAGCUUUGAUCCAGAGAUUUCCGAAUGGGGAAACCCAGCAUGAGUUAUGUCAUGUUAUCGAUAUGUGAAUACAUAGCAUAUCAGAAGGCACACCCGGAGAACUGAAACAUCUUAGUACCCGGAGGAAGAGAAAGAAAAUUCGAUUCCCUUAGUAGCGGCGAGCGAAACGGGAAGAGCCCAAACCAACAAGCUUGCUUGUUGGGGUUGUAGGACACUCUAUACGGAGUUACAAAGGACGACAUUAGACGAAUCAUCUGGAAAGAUGAAUCAAAGAAGGUAAUAAUCCUGUAGUCGAAAAUGUUGUCUCUCUUGAGUGGAUCCUGAGUACGACGGAGCACGUGAAAUUCCGUCGGAAUCUGGGAGGACCAUCUCCUAAGGCUAAAUACUCUCUAGUGACCGAUAGUGAACCAGUACCGUGAGGGAAAGGUGAAAAGCACCCCGGAAGGGGAGUGAAAUAGAACCUGAAACCGUGUGCUUACAAGUAGUCAGAGCCCGUUAAUGGGUGAUGGCGUGCCUUUUGUAGAAUGAACCGGCGAGUUACGAUUUGAUGCAAGGUUAAGCAGUAAAUGUGGAGCCGUAGCGAAAGCGAGUCUGAAUAGGGCGUUUAGUAUUUGGUCGUAGACCCGAAACCAGGUGAUCUACCCUUGGUCAGGUUGAAGUUCAGGUAACACUGAAUGGAGGACCGAACCGACUUACGUUGAAAAGUGAGCGGAUGAACUGAGGGUAGCGGAGAAAUUCCAAUCGAACCUGGAGAUAGCUGGUUCUCUCCGAAAUAGCUUUAGGGCUAGCCUCAAGUGAUGAUUAUUGGAGGUAGAGCACUGUUUGGACGAGGGGCCCCUCUCGGGUUACCGAAUUCAGACAAACUCCGAAUGCCAAUUAAUUUAACUUGGGAGUCAGAACAUGGGUGAUAAGGUCCGUGUUCGAAAGGGAAACAGCCCAGACCACCAGCUAAGGUCCCAAAAUAUAUGUUAAGUGGAAAAGGAUGUGGCGUUGCCCAGACAACUAGGAUGUUGGCUUAGAAGCAGCCAUCAUUUAAAGAGUGCGUAAUAGCUCACUAGUCGAGUGACACUGCGCCGAAAAUGUACCGGGGCUAAACAUAUUACCGAAGCUGUGGAUUGUCCUUUGGACAAUGGUAGGAGAGCGUUCUAAGGGCGUUGAAGCAUGAUCGUAAGGACAUGUGGAGCGCUUAGAAGUGAGAAUGCCGGUGUGAGUAGCGAAAGACGGGUGAGAAUCCCGUCCACCGAUUGACUAAGGUUUCCAGAGGAAGGCUCGUCCGCUCUGGGUUAGUCGGGUCCUAAGCUGAGGCCGACAGGCGUAGGCGAUGGAUAACAGGUUGAUAUUCCUGUACCACCUAUAAUCGUUUUAAUCGAUGGGGGGACGCAGUAGGAUAGGCGAAGCGUGCGAUUGGAUUGCACGUCUAAGCAGUAAGGCUGAGUAUUAGGCAAAUCCGGUACUCGUUAAGGCUGAGCUGUGAUGGGGAGAAGACAUUGAGUCUUCGAGUCGUUGAUUUCACACUGCCGAGAAAAGCCUCUAGAUAGAAAAUAGGUGCCCGUACCGCAAACCGACACAGGUAGUCAAGAUGAGAAUUCUAAGGUGAGCGAGCGAACUCUCGUUAAGGAACUCGGCAAAAUGACCCCGUAACUUCGGGAGAAGGGGUGCUCUUUAGGGUUAACGCCCAGAAGAGCCGCAGUGAAUAGGCCCAAGCGACUGUUUAUCAAAAACACAGGUCUCUGCUAAACCGUAAGGUGAUGUAUAGGGGCUGACGCCUGCCCGGUGCUGGAAGGUUAAGAGGAGUGGUUAGCUUCUGCGAAGCUACGAAUCGAAGCCCCAGUAAACGGCGGCCGUAACUAUAACGGUCCUAAGGUAGCGAAAUUCCUUGUCGGGUAAGUUCCGACCCGCACGAAAGGCGUAACGAUUUGGGCACUGUCUCAACGAGAGACUCGGUGAAAUCAUAGUACCUGUGAAGAUGCAGGUUACCCGCGACAGGACGGAAAGACCCCGUGGAGCUUUACUGUAGCCUGAUAUUGAAAUUCGGCACAGCUUGUACAGGAUAGGUAGGAGCCUUUGAAACGUGAGCGCUAGCUUACGUGGAGGCGCUGGUGGGAUACUACCCUAGCUGUGUUGGCUUUCUAACCCGCACCACUUAUCGUGGUGGGAGACAGUGUCA